GCUCAGUCGGUUAAGCGUCCAACUCUUGAUUUCGGCUCAGGUCAUGAUCUCAUGGUCGUGGGAUCAAGUCCCACAUUGGGCU
rnacentral:tRNA from 1 species